UUGUUAUUAACAUGAUCUUCAUUACAUUAAUACACCUGAUGAGAUGUUAGUUAAUUUUGGUUCUGCCAUUCCUCCUCCUUCAUAUGCUGCUACCAUUGCACAAGAAUACAGUACUGAGCAGUCCUCAAUUUAUAGUACCAGUACAAGUUACUGAUGCUGCUGCUGCUGUGGUUCAUGGACAAUAUGAAAAAAUUCCAUCAAAAAACAUUGAAGAUGCAUGAUUAUGAUAUUAAUACUUCGGUAGAAGAUGAUACUUGCUCUAGUGAUGCUGAAAUUGUGCAGCCAAAUGCAACAUCAGUUCCUUUAGAAAAGGCUGAUCUA